rnacentral:rRNA from 1 species
AUUGAACGCUGGCGGCAUGCUUUACACAUGCAAGUCGAACGGUAACAGGCCGCAAGGUGCUGACGAGUGGCGAACGGGUGAGUAAUGCAUCGGAACGUGCCCAGUCGUGGGGGAUAACGCAGCGAAAGCUGCGCUAAUACCGCAUACGAUCUAUGGAUGAAAGCGGGGGACCGUAAGGCCUCGCGCGAUUGGAGCGGCCGAUGUCAGAUUAGGUAGUUGGGGGGGUAAAGGCUCACCAAGCCAACGAUCUGUAGCUGGUCUGAGAGGACGACCAGCCACACUGGGACUGAGACACGGCCCAGACACCUACGGGAGGCAGCAGUGGGGAAUUUUGGACAAUGGGCGCAAGCCUGAUCCAGCAAUGCCGCGUGCAGGAAGAAGGCCUUCGGGUUGUAAACUGCUUUUGUACGGAACGAAACGGUCCUGGUUAAUACCCGGGGCUAAUGACGGUACCGUAAGAAUAAGCACCGGCUAACUACGUGCCAGCCGCCGCCGUAAGAC